rnacentral:rRNA from 1 species
UACGAAGGGUGCAAACGUUGCUCGGAAUUAUUGGGCGUAAAGCGCACGUAGGCGGCUUAGCAAGUCGGAUGUGAAAUCCCUCGGCUCAACCAAGGAAGUGCAUCCGAAACUGCUGAGCUUGAGUACUUAAGAGGAUCGCGGAAUUCCCGGUGUAGAGGUGAAAUGCGUAGAUAUCUGGAGGAACACCGGUGGCGAAGGCGGCAUCCUGGACCAAUUACUGACGCUGAGUGAGCGAAAGCCAGGGGAGCAAACGGG